GCUGGGUGCAGUGGUGCAUGCCUGUAAUCCUAGUGACUCAGGAGGUUGAGACAGGAGGAUGGUGAGUUCAAAGCCAGCCUCAGCAAUGGUAAGGCACUAAGCAACUCACUGAGACCCUGUCUCUA
rnacentral:sRNA from 1 species